AUAGAUCCAGUGGCUCUUUGAGCUCUGGUCAAGUGAAAAAUUCUCUGUUCUUAUCAGUUUAAUAUCUGAUAUGUCCUUUAUUUGAUAAUUCAAACAGUCGCAGAAACUUGCAGGUAAAUAAUAGAGUUCUUAAAAGGCUCUGCUCUGAGUUUUAAAGUACUUUUGGCAGGUUUAGCAAGUGCUAAAGCCU